rfam:Brassica oleracea var. oleracea cultivar TO1000 chromosome C6, whole genome shotgun sequence
GGAAUAUAAGAACCCGUCUCUUAAAUUUUAACUAAAAAAAGCUAAGAACCCGUUCUUAAAUAAGAGUUUUAAGAGCCGGUUCUUAACUUUUUUAGUUAAAAGUUAAGAGACGGGUUCUUAUAUUCC